CCUGAGCCAAAAUCAAAAAGCCAGAGGCUCAACCAACUGAGCCACCUAGGUGCCCUAAAAGCAGUUACCUUUUAAGAUACAGAAGCCAAGUUAUGGAGUCCAUAAAAAAUAGUGAGAAAUCCAGAAAUAGCCUACUGGAAUAUUCACUCUGGGCCAUUCUUGAUGCUCGGCACCACUUCAGAUCUCCAGCUACUCAAUAUAAAGCCAUUCUGACAGAUGCAAGGUGAUAUCUCAUUGUGG